UCUUUGCAGUUCACACUGUCACCCAGCAUUGUGUCAUCUGCAAAUUUCCUAGUGUUACUUUUAAUUCCAUCAUCUAAAUUAUUAAUAUAUAUUGUAAAUAGUUGCGGCCCCAGCACCGAAUCUUGCGGCACCCCGUUAAUGGGGAAUUGUGUGGCAAAUGUAGUUUCGUGUAUUUAUAUUUACAGCAACACUUUUGAUUGGUAAAUCUUUCUGCUUUCGAAGACAUUAGUUAAAUUAACUUUCAAAAGAUGUAUUAUACAGGUGGGGAAGAGUAAAUUGACAUGAAAUUCUGGGUUGUAAAUUUGGAAAUUGGAUAUAGAAACAAGUGAAUUUAAGCAAAUGUUGCUGAGGUGAAAGUACUGUAAAAUUGUUGGAUACUGAUUUUAAACUUCAUGGGAAUGAUAGGGGUGAAGCUUUAAGAAAAGCAUUUAAAAAAAAAAUCUUUAUUCACUUAAGAAGAACUUGAUUGAGUAAUCUAUUCUGUGUUAAAUCAUGGAAAGUAGGUUGAGUGGUCUCCAUGGAUUUUCAGGAUUUUCUGACAGGAAAUUCAGCUGCUCAUUCCUGCUCUGCGAUUCAAAAAUGGCACAGCUUCAUUUCCUACAUCGUGAAGAAAUUUCCUUCUCAUCUUUAUCUUGUCCCAAAUGGCUGACAGCUGCUUUUCAAACUGUGAUUCCAGUAAAAGUUCAACUACCAAAUGAUGUCGGCAAUAUUCCAGUUUUCCAGUUUGAUUGUGGAGUUUGAGACUUUUUUAUUGAUCUCUGCACUCUACCAGAUUAUCAGCUUUUAUCAAAAUAGCUCAGGUAAAACUUACAUUCAUAUAGUGCCUUUAAUUAAAAAGAUAUCCUGGGACAUUUCUCCAGUACACCCCCAAACCCAUUAGACUCCAAAAUCAUGCAAGAUUUGGGGACUCCCAACCAAACAGAUCAAUCAAAGAAGAUGAUUUUAAAAAGGUUGAAUUAAUUGUUUAGAAUUCAUCUUCAUCUGGGGUGUUAAAUUAACCAUGAAUGGAAAUUAAAUGUUAUUUGUUCUUUUUGUUUUGAUUUUGAACAAAGCAAUAACAUUUUAGUAAAUUAUGUUCAAUUGGAAUUAAUACAGUUAAAUAUUGGGAAUAGGAUUUUAUGUUACACAUGAAAGGUAUCAUUAAUGUUUUGACCCCUGUCAACUCUGGAGUCAACCUGAGGAAUAAUCCUGUUACAUAAUCUUAUACCUAAAUUUCAAGCAGUUAAGUUGUCAAAAUCUGUGUGAAACCCAGUGUUACUGUAAACAAUAGAUCAGUUUGUACAUGUAUAAAAUUCUUGUAUGAUACUUUUUUAGAAAAAUACAGAAACUAUUAUGAAAUUAAUUAUGGGAUUGUUCUAGUGUUUUCCUAACUAUUACACACAUUAUGAAAGUUGUGGGGUCAAAUUGCAGUAUGUUGUUAAUAAUUAUCCCAUGACACUUUGUUAGAGUUCCAGUACAUUUUAUUCUUGCAUAUUUGAUCAAGAUUUUGAAAUUCUGUUAUAGGGGUAGUAUUUGAUUCCAAAGGUUUGUCUUUUGAGAUGUGUAAAUAUUUUGGUUUUGUUUAUUGGGCGGCAUGAUGGCGUAGCGGUAAAUCUACUGCCUUACAGCGCCAGAGUCCCGGGUUCGAUCCUGACUACGGGUGCUUGUCUGUACAGAUUUGGUACUUUCUCCCCGUGACCUGCGUGGGUUUUCUCUAAGAUCUUCAGUUUCCUCCCACUUUCCAAAGACGUACAGGUUUGUAGGUUAAUUGGCUUGGUGUAUUGUAAAAUUGUCGUAAGUGUGUGUAUGGUAGUGUUAAUGUGCGUUGGUCGGUGCGGAUGCAGGCUGAAGGGCUGGUUUCCGCAAUAUAUCUCUUAUAUUUUAAACAAAAACUCCUUAGUCGCUGCCUCUGUAUGUGUUUCCCAUGUUGGGUCUUCUCCAAGUUCGCGAUGGAUGACCAAUUUUUUAUCUGAUGACUGAAGAAGGUUCUCGACCCGAAACAUCAACUAUUCCUUUUCUGCAGAUAUGCUGUCUGUCCUGCUGAGUUACUGCAGCUUUUUGUGUCUCUUUGGUUUAGACCAGCAUCUGUCAGCACUUGUCAGCAUGUAGUCACUUAUGGAAUCCUAGACCAUCAUCGCUGAAAACAUCAACAGGCUCGGUGCCUCACAAUGCUAUGUACGACAGUGAUCGCAACUUGUAGCUGAAUCCUAAAACUCCUCAGUUUCGCCAACUCCUUGCAGGUUCCUCAGGAUUACAGCAUUGUCGCUGUUGUUAGUUCCAUUGAUCAGAGCACUGAUAUCCUUGGUAUGGCCAUGUGGAAGUACAUCCAGGGUUGAUCUAGUACUUGAUUUUUUUUGUGUGUGUCGGGGUUUCAGUUUGGUUGCUUUGAAACUGGUAAAACAUUUAUUAACCUUUCCUAACCAUUUGCACAUAGUAAUUAUGGCCUAGGUUUCAUGCAUGCUACUACGUGCUUUCCCAUAUCCUGUGGGGAAAUAUGGUUGGAUAGGACUUUGCUUAAUUGACUAUUUGGUAAUCUGAUAUUUGAUGAUCUUUGGGAUCUGGUUUUACUUGUCUCAACUAAAAUCCAGUAAAGACAAGUGCAGAACAGAUCAUGUUAAAUGUACCCCAUUUGAAGUUGCACAUCCAUGCCUAAUAAUGUUGACCAGUGUUGGGGAGAGUGCGUCAUCUACCUUGAUCAUCUUGAUUCACCUUGAUUCUAUCACAAUU